AAUAAGGUGACAAGUUGCAUUUAUAUUUAAACUUGGAAAAUCAAAGUUUUAGAGCUAGAAAGCGUGCGUGUACAAAAUGUUUGAGUUUUACAUGUUUUAACUGAAUGAUAUAGUUAGGUUUUUAAUAAUAAACCUACAUCUACACAACUUUUUUAAAAAAUAUAUAUAUAUAUAUAUAUAUAUAUAUGAAGAUAUCUGUUUUUUUAUAUUUUUAACUCUCACAUUGGUAUAAUAUCGUAUGCUUUUAGUAUUAAUAUUUAAUAUAGGUAUAGUAAUAUUUAUGUAUAUAUCGUUUAUAAUUUUGAUAAUUCAGUUAUAAGUGUUAGUUGUUACACACUUGUAAGUAACAAAACUUGCGAAUUGACUAAUGCACAAAGAUUUACAAAAUCUUCAUAGUUACUACUCUUCAUAAUCACUUUCUGUAUUGAAAUGGGCUGGGCAUGUUAUUGUGGACUCAAUAAGGUCACCCUAAAACAUAUACAAUCCAAUCCAAAAGCUUUAAACCUAUCAUCAUUCAUUUUGUGUUAACUUUUAUGUAAUAAAUUACCAUAUUCAUAUGGGUAAGUUUUCCUAAUUGAAUUAUUUUGGCCCAGCUCGUUAUAAGUUCCUACAUAUCAGAGGCCCAAAGUGAAUGCCCAAGUUAACGAUAGAUUCUUCAAAUAUUUAAGAAGUGCCGUCCUUCUCCAGGCCCAGGAACAGAAGUGUAUACACAAGGCUGGCGUGUUUAAUUCAUUCAACGUUUGGGACACACAGCAUAUAUAUGUAUGUUUUAUACAAAUUAUACAGAGUGAGGUAAAAGCCAUACUUGAAUAUUGACAAUUGUGCUUUUACUACUUAAAUGUUUUUGGUGAGUUUGGUUUCCUAAUUAUAGGUGUGUGCACGUGCAUCGUAAGCACCGUUGUUGAGAAAAACAACUCGAACAAGUCGACCAAAAAGCAUAGACAGAUGUUAAAGUGGUAUUCACAUCCACAAAACACAUGGGCUACUUUUGGGAGCUAAGGAGGUUUUGGGUUAAAGCCCGGCCUGCUUUGCCUGGAACUAUUCCUUAUGAGCUGGACAAUAGUUACUGCCAAAAAAAAGAUGCGGAGUCACGGGUGCCCUGCCAAUCUACACCUUUGUGGGAGAUCUUGGGAAAGAAAUAUAUGUUUCGGCUUCGAGCCCAGUUUGUAGUCCAAUCCUGUGAGACUGUCCAAGACUUAACGAAAACGUGGUAUAAUCGCAGAAUUCUUUCCAUGGUCUUAUUCAGAAGCAGGUGUGUAUUGGGCUUACUUUUUGGACCAAGUGUUUGUCUGCUCGUAUGGUAGCCUUAAGGUCAUGUUAAACACUUAAACACUUGGGAACACAAGUUAUUGUCGACUCAUAACAUAUUUGAAAAAAAAAUGCAAUAAUUAACUUGGAAUCAACAUGUAUAAGAAACUUUGUACAUUUCACAAGCCACAACCAAAGUGAUACAUUUAUAUGUAAUGAUGUUGCUAUCUUAUCGUCUGGUCCAGAUCUGACCCGAUGCUCAGCCAAAUACGUACAUUUGUCUGUCUAUAUAUUCAAUGUUAUAUUUGAUAUAAUCCCUCACUUUUAAGUA